UACAGAGGGUGCAAGCGUUAAUCGGAAUUACUGGGCGUAAAGCGUGCGCAGGCGGUUUUGUAAGUCAGAUGUGAAAUCCCCGGGCUUAACCUGGGAACUGCGUUUGAAACUACAAGGCUAGAGUGUGGCAGAGGGGGGUGGAAUUCCACGUGUAGCAGUGAAAUGCGUAGAGAUGUGGAGGAACACCGAUGGCGAAGGCAGCCCCCUGGGUUAACACUGACGCUCAGGCACGAAAGCGUGGGGGAGCAAACAGG
rnacentral:rRNA from 1 species